UACGUAGGGCGCAAGCGUUGUCCGGAAUUAUUGGGCGUAAAGAGCUCGUAGGUGGCUUGUCACGUCGGAUGUGAAAGCCCGGGGCUUAACCCCGGGUCUGCAUUCGAUACGGGCUAGCUAGAGUGUGGUAGGGGAGAUCGGAAUUCCUGGUGUAGCGGUGAAAUGCGCAGAUAUCAGGAGGAACACCGGUGGCGAAGGCGGAUCUCUGGGCCAUUACUGACGCUGAGGAGCGAAAGCGUGGGGAGCGAACAGG
rnacentral:rRNA from 1 species